CAGCAAGGCAGGAUCUAUCCCUCUGUGGCUGGCGUAUCUCACUUGGCCUCUUGACUUCCAGGUUGACAAAAACGUGCAGGCUUCCUGUCUCUUCAAGGGUUAACUGGCUCCGCUGUGUGUGUGUUCUGCCCUGCCUUUACCUAGUGCAGUCAUGGGAGAACAAAUAUCCCUUCAGGAAGGGUCCCUUUGAUGUGUGUAUGAACUAGCCCACAAAGGGCUCUUGUGCCGACGCGGUGAUCUACGCAAUUCUGUAAACAUUGCUUUGGAAGGUCUGGAACUGUCAUCAGGUGGACCUAACUGGAGGAAGGCCACGUUUUUUCUCAGCACAAGGAGCCUUGCCCUUACCUAUGUAGGUCCGAGCUGAACACACCCAUGGCUGGCUCCCUUCGCCCCCAAGAAAAGAUAUGGGCCUGGAAGCGUCUGACAGGGAAGCCCACAGUCGCACUGUGUAAGAAGAACGGGUUCACUCUACAUCCAUGGCCAGGAGGAGUCCCCAUCUCACAGGGAAAGGUAGUAUUAACAGUAGGUGUGAACAGUCUGUUCUUAUGAGUGGCUCGGGCAGGGAGACAUAGCCUCUGUCAUCCUGUGCCCUGCACCCCUGCAGUUUGGAAGUUAACACUGCACGUUAUAAAU